GGGGAGCCCUUGCAAGGACGUGAGCUGCAGGGCCGCGGCGGGCCCGUACUCUCCCCGCCUUCUCCCUGGCCGCGCCUCGGGCUACCUUCACCGUGGCCUUCUGCUUUCCUCGCCAAAAGAAAGAAAACGAUCCCAAAGUUAAGAAACGGACCAGCUGGAUUCCGCGUAUUGCCCUGAAGCUUGAGAAAAGCACCUGGUAGCCCCCGUUUAAAAUCAGGUCUUGAGCCCCAGUGUUUGGCCUCUACCUCUGUUUUGCCAUACAUGGCCUGCUUCCGUGUUAAUGGGAUCCGUCAAAGGCUUUUCUGGUGCAGAAGUCUUAACAUUCCACCGGACAGCUUCAGUCUUCUUCCAGGUCUUCCCUCCGACCCCAAGGUGCAGAGAGAAGAAGGUGGCCUUCUGACUUUGGGGUGGGAUUGAGACUAGAACCCAAGUUAGAACUAUCUCCCUGAGAUCCAGGUCUCUGGAGAGUCAGCCUGUGGUCUCCUGAUAAGCUUCCGCAAGGUGAGUUUCAAGGAACUAAUCCAUUUCAUAUACUCAAAUACAGCAUCUAGCUGGUGGCCUGUUUUCCUUGAAUUUAUCUUUAUUGUUACCUGCUGUGUUUCGGCCUUUGACAUGUGGUGAUCACGGCCCCCCUGCUUGGGACGGACUGCAAGGGAUCUAACAUGAAGAAGACUGAGCCCACGAAACAGACUGUGAGCGUUCCCACACCAGGACAUGGGCUAAGAUACACAGUUUUGGAGUGAGAUGGAAGGAGAAUGGUAUGAAGUGUCCAUUCUGUAGGGAAGUGUGUCCUAGAAGAAAAGCUCACCCUUUGGUCUCCUCUCUCAUCCUCUGGUAAUGAAAAGGCCUCUAAAAAUAUAUGCAGAAUGUUUACAGUGACAUUAUCAUUUUUUAUUCACAUUGGCACACUUUUGAGAGUGAAUGGGGACAUUAUUAAUAAUCGCACCAGGGCAGUGGAUGUAAACCAAGUUACCCUAAUAGAAGACCAAAUGAUUUUCAUGCCAUAAAAUAUCUCGCAACGUUGGUUCCUUCCUCAUAAGAACAGCUGUCUUUUCCUACCUUUUCCUUUCUGGGCACACCUUUACCAUACCCAGAGUUGACCUAUGUGAUUUCUGGCAUCCUUCUCAAGUACUUUCUUUAUAAAGUAUUUUCUUUUUUGUGUCAGAAUUUGGAUUAAAAAAAAAAAACUUUUGUUCUCUAAGAAUCGCUUACACAUUUCUUUAGUGAUACAUUUGGGAGAGAGAAAAAAAAAGAAUAAAUCAGGCAUAAAUUCACA
rnacentral:lncRNA from 1 species